ensembl:lncRNA
CGCAGUGCGAUAUGAAUCCGGUAGCUCUUUCAGCUAGCUGUCACCUUGGUAUGGUCCCCCCAACAAGCCUAUGGGACUGGAUUGAGUGACUUCACCUGUAGUUCACCUGUAGUGCAUAAAAUCUUGGACAUACAGGUUUGGUUAACAAACAGUUUCUCAUUUGUUCUGUUUAUUAGCUAAAAAAAAUGUUUAUUAGUUAAUUAUCCCGUAGGUCACAUCCUAUUCUAGAACACUAUUUACCCAUCCCCCCUUUGUUACCUGGCUCUGCCCAGGUAACAACCUUGCCUUAUUCUUAAACAAUGACUUAGGUAAGAUUUAGUGAAUUAUCCUUAUGUCUGACAUCAUCAUGUAGGAGCCCCUUUUAAUUUUCCACAUGUCCAAUUCUCCCUUGGGUGUCCCUUCGUGUCAAUCCUGUACCAAUUCCCUGUCAAGUUUCUUAUCUACUUUUAUGAACUAUCUGCGCUACUUAUAUAUUUUCUUAAAUAUAUAUUUUUACCAAUUUAAACCUUUUCUCUCAUAUCUCUCAAAUACCACUAAGCUUCUAACUGUUUGACUUUAUCUAAAAUCAUUGAUUUUAGAAAAAACAUGUCUAUGAGUGGCUUUUCUCUAAAGUCCUUACAUUUCCUUAAUCAAUCUAUCUUAAACCUAACAAUAAUCCUAAAUCAUCACAGAUGUCCUAUAUUCCUGUUAAAUGUAAUACUAUUUAAAAAACUUAGAAUAAUCAAACAAGGUCUAAUAAAUGCUAACCAUAUUAAAAAUCCUUCCUACACUAACAAGCCCUCUCCUUCGGGGACCCUCAGUAUUCUAUCUGACAAUAACAUGAUCAAAAUAUGUGUUGCAAAGUGUGGAAUACCUUAUCUACAGUAAUUUAUCACCCUUAAAAAAACUGCAACUUAUUUUUCUAUGUAAUUCCCUGCCCUAUUGGCUUAAUCUAUCUUAUCUUCCCCUAUUUAUUCUCAAUGAUAAAUAUGACUUUUUCUCUGUUACAAUACCAGAUCAUUAAUAGCCCCUUCAAAAACUUCACAGCUAAUGUUGUAAAACAGAAUCCUGAACCACUUUCUCAUUUGCGGUUCAAACAGUAAUUCUAACCCCUCAACCAAAACUCCUUCAUUUCUAAUGAAUUUACCUUAAAACUAGUAACUCAAUAUGACCACAUUCAUUAUACAAAUGACUCUCCCCUGAGGCUGAUCAGACCUCAGAAGACAGUCACGAUAAGAUCAAUAGGUCAUAAAAAUAAAUUCACUUGUAUAAUUAAAACUCAGAAAGUUCCAUAUGUGAGCGUGCCUCUUUAAAAUACCUUUGCACUAAAACAAAUAGUCCUAAAUGGUUUUAUGUGUAUAUACUUGCAGACCUGUUUUAAUUUGGUCGUUUAUGGCCUCAUUCUCCCCCAGGUUAUAAUCCCAGGAAACAUCUAAAAUUGAGACCCUUUAAACAUCCAUUUUCCCAGAAGAACACAACACUCCUAACUAGCAUUCACUAAGCUAAUUCCGAUUCAGAAACUCAAAAGUGAACUAUAAACUAAACCUAAUGAUGAUUCCCCUUUAACUAAAAUCAUUAAUCAUAAGUUUUAAACACCGUCAAUGUAUAUGUUUACUUAAAUGAACAUGUUACCCUUAGAUACAAUUAACCCGAUACAUUUCUCAGUGUAAGAAAUCCGUAAUUUAAUCCCCGAUAUUUAAUAAAUAUGCAUUCGCUUUCUCCCAUGGCUCCUUUAAUUGACUUAUUUUAGAUAACUUCCAUCCGUCCCGGAAUGAAAAAUCCUACUUAAACACGCAUGUCUACGUAUCAGGGGAAAAGUUUGAAUAACUAAAUUCAACCUAGCUUACUUCCCGAAACAUAUGCAGUUAUGUUUUUCUAUAGAGGUUGCUUUUCAAACUUUAAAUACCCUAACAUGGUUCCACACAAUUGAAAGUGCUCAAAUUCACUGGUGUUACGUAAACAAUCAACCCUGGAAUCACAACCAUGGAAUCCAUUACCACGAUGUUUUACGAAUCAUACAUCCAGUCUCUCUCUCCCUAACAUAGUUCAACCCAAACAAACGCCACAAACCUUGAUGCCUACCUAGGUAUCCGCUGAUAGUUUUUAGCAUCUUUCCUGACUAUCCUGGCAACUCUCAAAUUACUGUUAAAAAUGUAUUUUGUAAUUUAUAUCAACUUCUGAAAAGUUACUCGAAACAUCAAUGCACACACUAACAGACAUACGAUUUGUUCCGUUAUCCCCAGUCCCUGGCGACAAAAGUGCCUCGCUAGUGACGUCAUCAUCAAGCGCUCAACCUGCCAAUUCAUAGCGACUUUAAAUGAAUUGUAAAUAAUUCUUGUUCGAUUAACCAAACCUAAUUUAUCACAUCUGUUCCAAUCCUGAAUUAUAAUUUACCACCCCAACCAAUAUCUCUAAAUUUGCUAAUUUUAUAAAAACAUUUAGAUGGGCAUAAAUCGUAAUUGUCUCUUUGUUAUCAUUUAGAAUCCAUUUUGCUCUAAGUAACUGUCUCGUCUUUGACUUAGUAUUUUAAUUACAACUCUAUUCCCAAUACGUUAUUCACUUGUCUAAUUAAAAACUCACUAGCAUUAUGUGAGUGUACACCUUUAAAAUACCUUGUCUCUGGGAACAGGGAAAUCCCCUUAACCCAAACUUUUACUCCUACAACGACACCCAAUAAUUCUGAUAAUCCCUUCACAUCGUUUGUUUUAAAUCUCUUGAUGUAUCAUGUAACUUAUUUUUCUAUCUUCAAAUUGUCGUCCCACAAUAUUUUUUCCACUGUCAUACACUCAAACCACUGUGAUUGACAUGCACUGUCCCUUUAAAAUAAGACAUUAUUUUUCCCCGUAAAGAAAAACAGAGAAAAUAGAUAGUGUUAUUUUUUUUUUAGGAUACUUUAACUUCUAGUUCCAAUUCCCAGGCGUUACCUAACCAAAAAUCAAUACUCGGAAAAACAAUCACAACUUUUUACGAUUAAACUAUUCUUACCUAUCUUAUAGUCCAAAGCGUUGCACUAUAUAGCCCAUUUAGUGCUUGGCACUUCCGUUGCAAUCUGUGGCAUCUUUACGAUACUUCUCCUUUUUCUUAAUGAAAUGUAUCUGGAACUUCUGGCCGCUUUUGAAAAGUAACUCUAAGCUAUAAUGCACGCAUUUUUCCUCUAAAUGCCACAACCCCUUUUCUCGGUUUAAAUUUGAGGAACGAUGUUGUUAAACGUGCAACGUCAUCAUACAUCUGCCUGCCUCUGUAAAAUAUAUAUAUUCCCUAUUCAGAUUGCGUUCAGUUUUAAAUUCUAAUCAUCAAAGCAUAACCAACCCAACUUCUCAACUUACCAUACCCUAAAUUUAAACGUACCAUGUUUUGUGCUAAAUUUAUCAUAUGUCAGUCGAUUCAUAAAUAGCUAUAACGUCCGGAUAGCACGAAAUUGUAUCGUAUCUCUC